GAGCUUUAAUAGUAAAUUGCACCAAGGGGUGGGGUUAAUAUACUGGAAACACCUUAGAAAAGGCCCGUUCAACUUAAAUAUCUAUUUCCACACAAAUGGACCAAUUCGGCUUUCAUCAGUGAAAACCUCCAGUGAGUUAUACAGGUCAAAAUUGGGUUUUUUGGCUAUGGGGCCCGACCCCUCACACCCGGAUAACUCAAAUUCAAUCCCAAUAGUUGGGACAACAUAUUGGGGAAUAGAUUAACGUAUCCGGACACCCCGAGGUGAGUCCGUUAGUGCCAAAUGACGAAAUAACCAGGUAAUAAGUGAAAACCCAUCUUUCUCCUAAACAACCCUUAGUUAACUUAAGUGACUAUAAAUAGAGACUCUUUUCCCAUUUCUUUCAUUCCUACCAAGUUAAAAGCAAGGGAAUGGAAAAAAGAGAACAAGAAGAAGAAGAAGGAGAAGAGUAGGGGAGAAGCAAGGAUUUUCCUACCAAAUAAGGGGUAGAACCAAAAGGUGACGAGACACGCCGCGAGGCCAUCGGUUGUCCAUCAUCACUUAGGACUUGAGAUGUUGAUUCAGGUAACCCUUCGGAAACUGUGAUUGAGGAUCCAGCUCUCUACGGAGGUGAUCUCUGGAAUGAGGAACUAGUUAAUUGCACACGAGAAUGGAUGAGUGUGCGAUGACUGUGCAAUUGGAGCACGCUGAAGAUGAGAGUAUUAUCUUCCUUUUAUUUUCUUUUGUACUUAUCAGAUAUAGCCCUAGGGGCAUAAUUGUAAUUGAUAUUUUGUUGCGAAAACAUUUUGUUAAAUAUGAUAAAUACUGUUAGAUUCCA